rnacentral:rRNA from 1 species
UACAGAGGUCUCAAGCGUUGUUCGGAUUCAUUGGGCGUAAAGGGUGCGUAGGCGGCGCGGUAAGUCGGGUGUGAAAUCUCGGAGCUUAACUCCGAAACUGCAUUCGAUACUGCCGUGCUUGAGGACUGGAGAGGAGACUGGAAUUUACGGUGUAGCGGUGAAAUGCGUAGAUAUCUGGAGGAACACCGGUGGCGAAGGCGGCAUCCUGGACCGGCAUUGACGCUGAGGCGCGAAAGCCAGGGGAGCAAACGGGG